UAGGGAAUCUUCGGCAAUGGGGGCAACCCUGACCGAGCAACGCCGCGUGAGUGAAGAAGGUUUUCGGAUCGUAAAGCUCUGUUGUAAGUCAAGAACGGGUGUGAGAGUGGAAAGUUCACACUGUGACGGUAGCUUACCAGAAAGGGACGGCUAACUACGUGCCAGCAGCCGCGGUAAUACGUAGGUCCCGAGCGUUGUCCGGAUUUAUUGGGCGUAAAGCGAGCGCAGGCGGUUUGAUAAGUCUGAAGUUAAAGGCUGUGGCUCAACCAUAGUUCGCUUUGGAAACUGUCAAACUUGAGUGCAGAAGGGGAGAGUGGAAUUCCAUGUGUAGCGGUGAAAUGCGUAGAUAUAUGGAGGAACACCGGUGGCGAAAGCGGCUCUCUGGUCUGUAACUGACGCUGAGGCUCGAAAGCGUGGGGAGCGAACAGGAUUAGAUACCCUGGUAGUCCACGCCGUAAACGAUGAGUGCUAGGUGUUGGAUCCUUUCCGGGG
rnacentral:rRNA from 1 species